UACGGGAGGCAGCAGUAGGGAAUCUUCCGCAAUGGACGAAAGUCUGACGGAGCAACGCCGCGUGAGUGAUGAAGGUUUUCGGAUCGUAAAACUCUGUUGUUAGGGAAGAACAAGUAUCGUUCGAAUAGGGCGGUACCUGGACGGUACCUAACCAGAAAGCCACGGCUAACUACG
rnacentral:rRNA from 1 species